rnacentral:tRNA from 4 species
GGGCGGUUAGCUCAGCUGGUUAGAGCACACGCCUGAUAAGCGUGAGGUCGGUGGUUCGAGUCCACUACCGCCCACCA